rnacentral:rRNA from 1 species
GUUCAACGGCCGCGGUAUCCUGACCGUGCGAAGGUAGCAUAAUCACUUGUUCUUUAAAUGGGGACUAGUAUGAAAGGCACCACGAGGGCUUUACUGUCUCCUUUCUCCAAUCAGUGAAACUGAUCUCCCUGUGAAAAAGCAGGAAUAUUAAUAUAAGACGAGAAGACCCCAUGGAGCUUUAAACCCAAUGACAACCCGAACACUCCCAACCCAUUAGAGUUUUAUAAGUACUGUCCAUUGGUUUUAGGUUGGGGUGACCGCGGAGAACAAAAUAACCUCCAUGACGAACGGGACUAACCCCUAAUCCAAGAGCCACGGCUCUAAGAAUUAACACAUUAGCGUUAACUGAUCCAAUCAAUUGAUCAACGAACCAAGUUACCCUGGGGAUAACAGCGCAAUCCAUUUUGAGAGCCCCUAUCGAAAAAUGGGUUUACGACCUCGAUGUUGGAUCAGGGUACCCAGGUGGUG